rnacentral:snRNA from 2 species
AUCGCUUCUCGGCCUUUUGGCUAAGAUCAAGUGUAAUAUCUGUUCUUACCAAGGGCUGAUGAUCCCAGACCUAUGCCUAAAGCUAACCCAUU